UAAUUUUGUUGAGUUAGACGAAACAAUGUUCAAUAAGAUUGUCCCUUUGUGGAUGUCAUUAAAUAUAAAAGUUUUGAACAUAAAUUUUAUGCUCCUGUGUAGGCAACAUCAUGAUUGUUAGACGCUACUCCGUUUCUUCACCAGCUCACUCAUUUGCCAGAAGUGAUCCCUGGAAAACUAGAGGUCACUCAGGAACUAAGGCCAUGAAUAAACAUCCAUAUAAUGGAGUUCUAGAAGCUCGAGAAACAGUUAAAUCACUGGUGUGUUCUUCAAUUAAAAAACAAGACCAUGAAGAAAAGAUAUUGGCAGAAGAUUCUUUCAGCAGCAAUGGUUCCAGCCAAAGAGCUUCUCCUGAGGAUGGCUUUGGAUGCAGAGACAAGAUAAAGACGGUCAGUUUCCUGCUACCUGUGGACAUGUCUUCGUAUCCCAAAAAUUUGAGUUCUUUGAAAUACUCACCAAAUCAGACCAAAAAUUCUAGUUCUUUGAAAUACUCACCAAAUCAAACCACAAACCAGCUAAGUAUCAUUGCCGAAUAGGACAUGUGCAGUGCUGAAAUUUAAGCACUUGAUUCCCAAGAAAGGAGAGCACCAGGUCUAGCUGGGCCAGUGCCUUGGCCUCCCCUGCAAAGAUCCCUAGAGAGCUACCUAGUAAGAUACCCAGAAGACUCAAUGCCUGCUUACCAACCUGCUCACCCA
rnacentral:lncRNA from 1 species